rnacentral:rRNA from 1 species
GUUAAGCGACUAAGCGUACACGGUGGAUGCCCUGGCAGUCAGAGGCGAUGAAGGGCGUGCUAAUCUGCGAUAAGCGCCGGUAAGGUGAUAUGAACCGUUAUAACCGGCGAUACCCGAAUGGGGAAACCCAGUGUGAUUCGUCACACUAUCAUUAACUGAAUCCAUAGGUUAAUGAGGCGAACCGGGGGAACUGAAACAUCUAAGUACCCCGAGGAAAAGAAAUCAACCGAGAUUCCCCCAGUAGCGGCGAGCGAACGGGGAGGAGCCCAGAGCCUGAAUCAGCAUGUGUGUUAGUGGAAGCGUCUGGAAAGGCGCGCGAUACAGGGUGACAGCCCCGUACACAAAAGCGCAUGUGCUGUGAGCUCGAUGAGUAGGGCGGG